rnacentral:ncRNA from 1 species
CGAAAAUAGAGUGGCAGGUCGGUAGCUCCUGCGCCCGUUCACCGGGUUCUUCCCAGCCCCGG